AUUGAACGCUGGCGGCAGGCCUAACACAUGCAAGUCGAACGGCAGAAGGGUGCUUGCUCCUGGAUACAGCGGCCGACGGGCGAGUAAUGCCUAGGAAUCUGCCUGGCUGCUGUGGCUAACGUGCGGACACGGGCGCUAAUACCCCAUUAGUCCUGAGGGCCAACGUGGGGAAUCUUCGGACCUCACGCUCUCACAUGAUCCGAUGUCGGAUUAGCUAGUUGGUGGGGUAAAGGCCUACCAAGGCGACGAUCCGUAACUGGUCUGAGAGGAUGAUCAGACACACUGGAACUGAGACACGGGCCAGACUCCUACGGGAGGCAGCAGUGGGGAAUAUUGGACAAUGGGCGCAAGCCUGAUCCAGCCAUACCGCGUGGGUGAAGAAGGCCUUCGGGUUGUAAAGCCCUUUUGUUGGGAAAGAAAAGCAGCAGGUUAAUACCCCGCUGUUCUGACGGUACCCAAAGAAUAAGCACCGGCUAACUUCGUG
rnacentral:rRNA from 1 species